CUCGCCGCUUGACGCUUCGCUGGUGAACGGGCCACUUCAGCAUCAUGAUUCUCCUCAGUGCUUCACGCACCACGACUGCCCCAGACUUGCGGAGUACCACCACACGGAAUCAGAAUUAUGGGUGGGAUGGACACUGUAUCAAGGUGAAUCCAUGUCACCACAGGGGAGGAUGUUGUCAGUGGAAGGGGAGGUUGCCCUGGGGCCAUGUUUGGAGGCAUUUGUCAACCUUGCAUGUCAGGAGGAAGCAGCAUGCAUGCUGGAAUGUAUUCAGAAAUCAAAAAGAAAAAAGGUAUUAAUGGACUCAAAGUUUGCUGCUGGAACUUGGGACAAGAAAACGUGGAAUAAACCCUCAUGUAUGCACUCUUCUUAGAAAGUUGAUGGACUUUGGGAUACUGUUUAAAUGGCAAGCCAUUCAAUGAAUUUGGGAAUGCAAAGGUAGACACACAGCUCUGACCAAAAAUGUAAGUUCAUGUUUCAUGUACAAAUUCGUGAUUGAAGUUCAGUCACACUCUUUUUGUUGCUAGUGUAACUGUUUUCAAGGCUUAAGCCCUAUUCCAUUUAAUGUGAAG